rnacentral:rRNA from 1 species
UACGGAGGGUGCGAGCGUUGUCCGGAAUCACUGGGCGUAAAGGGCGCGUAGGUGGCGCGGGCAGUCAACGGUGAAAGUUCGGGGCUCAACCCUGAAUCGGCCGUCGAUACUCCCGGGCUUGAGCACUGUAGAGGCUAAUGGAAUUCCGGGUGUAGCGGUGGAAUGCGUAGAGAUCAGGAGGAACACCGAUGGCGAAAGCAGGUAACUGGACCAUUACUGACACUCAGCUGCGAAAGCUAGGGGAGCAAACGGG